rfam:Oryza barthii chromosome 9, whole genome shotgun sequence.
AAAAAAGUAAACCCUGGGUUUCUGUGUUCAACUUUGACUGUCCGUGUUAUAUGAAUUUUAAUAUUUUAUGCGUGACUUGUCUUUUUAAUUUUUUUCAUAAUUUUUUCAAAUAAGACGGACGGUUAAAGGUUGGGCACGGAAACCAGAGUUUGCCUUUUUU